rnacentral:rRNA from 1 species
UACAGAGGGUGCGAGCGUUAAUCGGAAUUACUGGGCGUAAAGCGUGCGCAGGCGGCUUUGCAAGACAGAUGUGAAAUCCCCGGGCUCAACCUGGGAACUGCAUUUGUGACUGCAAGGCUAGAGUACGGUAGAGGGGGAUGGAAUUCCGCGUGUAGCAGUGAAAUGCGUAGAUAUGCGGAGAACACCGAUGGCGAAGGCAAUCCCCUGGACCUGUACUGACGCUCAUGCACGAAAGCGUGGGGAGCAAACGAGG